GAUUGUAAUGAGUCGGACACGACUGAGCAAUGGAACUGAACUACUCCAUGUGCGACCUCAGUUCCCUGAGCAGGGAUUGAACCCAUACUCUCUGCAUUGGAAGGUGGAGUCUUAACUAUUGGACCACCAAGGAAGUCCCUGCUUCCUUAAGCAAACACUGGUUAGCCUGUUCCCAAAGCCCGGUCAGCGCUGGACACUGUUUCCCACUCUCCAUCUCUUUCCAUGUGCUUUCCUGUCUCGUGGCCCCUGAGCAGCCUGGACACCCCACUUCCCCAAAGUGGACUCCACACCACUGUCUUGUGUGGGAGCUUUCCCAGCCUGAAAUGGCCUGGCCAAGCAAUCUAGGUGGUUCCUGUUGAUUUCUUACUGGACUGGCAUGAAAUACUGAUACCCGUGAAGCUGCGAUGAAGCUCUGAACACAUCACGCCACACUCUCUGCAGCAGAAUCAGUUACUGAUCACCUGGUAAAGUGAGACGUCUCUCCACUGAAGGCUCCCUUCUGGAAGUCCUGAGGACUUUCCAGACAUCUGUUAAGGGGAGAAGGAUUUUAGACACUAAUUUGUCUCACUGAUUCACUGAUGGGAGCUCUUUAAAAAUACAUCUGUUUAUUGGCGGCACUUUGUACAAGAUAUAAAAAUCAGUGGCAAAUGUCACAUUUAAGGGGAAAUAAAACAAGCAUGUAAAUGCUCAAGGAGCCCUUAAUGAUGGAUGUUAUUUUCUUUCUAGCAGCCAGCAUCGUGAUUCCGAAGUCAACCGGACAUCCUGGGAUGUAGACAAGUCUGCAAGAGAAACCUGGCUUUCUGCUCUUUUUGGUCCUGCUUCCUAACAGGUCCCUGGGAGACCAGCCCUACGGGGGAAAGUGCUGGAAUUCAGCCAGUACCAGCUGCUAUAUCAGAAAGACUUAGUGCUCACGCACUGUCCCCUGGUCAAGGUCUUGGAAGUGAGGGAGAAUUAUGGUACCUCAAGGCAAUGGCAACCCACUCCAGUACUCUUGCCUGGAAAACCCCAUGGAC
ensembl:lncRNA